GGGCCGGUAGCUCAGGGGUAGAGCGCUCGCUUUGCAUGCGAGAGGUCUGGGGUUCAAAUCCCCACCGGUCCA